UACGUAGGGGGCAAGCGUUGUCCGGAUUUAUUGGGCGUAAAGAGCGUGUAGGCGGUUUGGUAGGUCCGCUGUGAAAACUCGAGGCUCAACCUCGAGACGCCGGUGGAAACCAUCAGACUAGAGUCCGGAAGAGGAGAGCGGAAUUCCUGGUGUAGCGGUGAAAUGCGUAGAGAUCGGGAGGAACAUCAGUGGCGAAGGCGGCCAUCUGGGACAACACUGACGCUGAAGCACGAAAGCGUGGGGAGCAAACAGG
rnacentral:rRNA from 1 species